GACGAACGCUGGCGGCGUGCUUAACACAUGCAAGUAGAACGAAGUGGCGAACGGGUGAGUAAUACGUGGGUAACCUGCCAUCCUUUGUGGGAUAAGCCUUGGAAACGGGGUCUAAUACAGAAUAAAGGGGGAUGGGAUCGCGGCCUAUCAGCGUGUUGGGGGGGUGAUGGCCUACCAAGGCGGUGACGGGUAGCCGGCCUGAGAGGGUGACCGGCCACAUUGGGACUGAGAUACGGCCCAUACUCCUACGGGAGGCAGCAGUGGGGGAUAUUGCACAAUGGGCGAAAGCCUGAUGCAGCGACGCCGCGUGUAGGAAGAAGGCCUUCGGGUUGUAAAGUACUUUCCGUCGUGAGACGUUACCGACAGAAGAAGCACCGGCUAACUCCGUGCCAGCAGCCGCGGUAAUAC
rnacentral:rRNA from 1 species